rnacentral:rRNA from 1 species
GGGCCAGACUCCUACGGGAGGCAGCAGUGGGGGAUAUUGCACAAUGGGGGAAACCCUGAUGCAGCGACGCCGCGUGAGUGAAGAAGUAUUUCGGUAUGUAAAGCUCUAUCAGCAGGGAAGAAGAUGACAGUACCUGAGUAAGAAGCCCCGGCUAACUACGUGCCAGCAGCCGCGGUAAUACGUAGGGGGCAAGCGUUAUCCGGAUUUACUGGGUGUAAAGGGGGCGCAGACGGCAGCGCAAGCCAGGAGUGAAAGCCCGGGGCCCAACCCCGGGACUGCUCUUGGAACUGCGCGGCUGGAGUGCAGGAGGGGCAGGCGGAAUUCCUGGUGUAGCGGUGAAAUGCGUAGAUAUCAGGAGGAACACCGGUGGCGAAGGCGGCCUGCUGGACUGCGACUGACGUUGAGGCCCGAAAGCGUGGGGAGCAAACAGGAUUAGAUACCCGAGUA